rnacentral:rRNA from 1 species
ACUCAAAUGAAUUGACGGGGGCCCGCACAAGCGGCGGAGCAUGUGGAUUAAUUCGAUGCAACGCGAAGAACCUUACCUGGGUUUGACAUACACUGGAAAGCCGUGGAGACACGGCCUCCGCAAGGCCGGUGUACAGGUGGUGCAUGGCUGUCGUCAGCUCGUGUCGUGAGAUGUUGGGUUAAGUCCCGCAACGAGCGCAACCCUUGUCCCAUGUUGCCAGCGGGUUAUGCCGGGGACUCAUGGGAAACUGCCGGGGUCAACUCGGAGGAAGGUGGGGACGACGUCAAGUCAUCAUGCCCCUUAUGUCCAGGGCUUCACACAUGCUACAAUGGCCGGUACAAAGGGCUGCUAAGCCGUGAGGUGGAGCGAAUCCCACAAAGCCGGUCUCAGUUCGGAUCGGGGUCUGCAACUCGACCCCGUGAAGUCGGAGUCGCUAGUAAUCGCAGAUCAGCAAUGCUGCGGUGAAUACGUUCCCGGGCCUUGUACACACCGCCCGU